UCCGGUUUAUCACCGGCAGUCUCCCUAAAGUUCCCGGCAUCACCCGCUGGCAAGUAAGGAUAAGGGUUGCGCUCGUUGCGGGACUUAACCCAACAUUUCACAACACGAGCUGACGACAGCCAUGCAGCACCUGUCUCAGAGUUCCCGAAGGCACUAAGCUAUCUCUAGCGAAUUCUCUGGAUGUCAAGAGUAGGUAAGGUUCUUCGCGUUGCAUCGAAUUAAACCACAUGCUCCACCGCUUGUGCGGGCCCCCGUCAAUUCAUUUGAGUUUUAACCUUGCGGCCGUACUCCCCAGGCGGUCUACUUAAUGCGUUAGCUUGAGAGCCCAGUGCUCAAGGCACCAAACUCCGAGUAGACAUCGUUUACGGCGUGGACUAC
rnacentral:misc_RNA from 1 species